rnacentral:rRNA from 1 species
GACGAACGCUGGCGGCGUGCCUAAUACAUGCAAGUCGAACGCACAGUUUAUACCGUAGCUUGCUACACCAUAGACUGUGAGUUGCGAACGGGUGAGUAACGCGUAGGUAACCUGCCUGGUAGCGGGGGAUAACUAUUGGAAACGAUAGCUAAUACCGCAUAAUAUUAAUUAUUGCAUGAUAAUUAAUUGAAAGGUGCAAUUGCACCACUACCAGAUGGACCUGCGUUGUAUUAGCUAGUAGGUGAGGUAACGGCUCACCUAGGCGACGAUACAUAGCCGACCUGAGAGGGUGAUCGGCCACACUGGGACUGAGACACGGCCCAGACUCCUACGGGAGGCAGCAGUAGGGAAUCUUCGGCAAUGGACGAAAGUCUGACCGAGCAACGCCGCGGGAGUGAAGAAGGUUUUCGGAUCGUAAAGCUCUGUUGUAAGAGAAGAACGGGUGUGAGAGUGGAAAGUUCACACUGUGACGGUAUCUUACCAGAAAGGGACGGCUAACUACGUG